GACGAACGCUGGCGGCGUGCUUAACACAUGCAAGUCGAACGGAAAGGCCCUGCUUGCAGGGUACUCGAGUGGCGAACGGGUGAGUAACACGUGGGUGAUCUGCCCUGCACUUCGGGAUAAGCCUGGGAAGCUGGGUCUAAUACCGGAUAGGAGCCAUUUUUAGUGUGAUGGUUGGAAAGUUUUUUCGGUGUAGGAUGAGCUCGCGGCCUAUCAGCUUGUUGGUGGGGUAAUGGCCUACCAAGGCGGCGACGGGUAGCCGGCCUGAGAGGGUGGACGGCCACAUUGGGACUGAGAUACGGCCCAGACUCCUACGGGAGGCAGCAGUGGGGAAUAUUGCACAAUGGGCGCAAGCCUGAUGCAGCGACGCCGCGUGGGGGAUGACGGCCUUCGGGUUGUAAACUCCGUUCGCUAGGGACGAAGCUUUUUGUGACGGUGCCUAGAUAAGAAGCACCGGCUAACUACGUG
rnacentral:rRNA from 1 species